GACGAACGCUGGCGGCGUGCCUAAUACAUGCAAGUCGAGCGGACGAAUCGAAAGCUUGCUUUUGAUUCGUUAGCGGCGGACGGGUGAGUAACACGUGGGCAACCUGCCCUGUAGACGGGGAUAACACCGAGAAAUCGGUGCUAAUACCGGAUAACACGAAAUGUCGCAUGACGUUUUGUUGAAAGACGGUGCAAGCUGUCGCUACAGGAUGAGCCCGCGGGGCAUUAGCUAGUUGGUGGGUUAACGGCUCACCAAGGCGACGAUGCGUAGCCGACCUGAGAGGGUGAUCGGCCACACUGGGACUGGAAAACGGCCCAGACUCCUACGGGAGGCAGCAGUAGGGAAUCUUCCGCAAUGGACGAAAGUCUGACGGAGCACCGCCGCGUGAGCGAAGAAGGCCUUCGGGUCUUAAAGCUCUUUUGUUAGGGAAGAACAAGUAACGCAGUAACUGGCGUUACCGUGACGGUACCUAACGAGAAAGCCACGGCUAACUACGUG
rnacentral:rRNA from 1 species